rnacentral:rRNA from 1 species
GGUGGCGAGCGUUGUCCGGAAUUACUGGGCGUAAAGCGCACGUAGGUGGCUUGGUAAGUCGGAUGUGAAAGCCCCGGGCUCAACCUGGGAACUGCAUUCGAUACUGCUGAGCUAGAGUACGAAAGAGGGGGGUGGAAUUCCAGGUGUAGCGGUGAAAUGCGUAGAGAUCUGGAGGAACACCAGUGGCGAAGGCGGCCCCCUGGUUCGAUACUGACGCUGAGGUGCGAAAGCGUGGGGAGCAAACAGG